CAUGAAUAGAUCACUGUGUGUAUAUGUACAUAUACAUAUGUAUACAUAUAUGUACACACACACACACACACACACACACACACACACACACACACAC
rnacentral:miRNA from 1 species